rnacentral:lncRNA from 1 species
AGGAAAAUGAAUAGCGAGAGUAAAGUGCGCAGGUGCGCCCAGGGCGCCGAGAGGGGCGCGCAGGCCUGGAGUGUGCGCCUGCCCUCUCGGUGUCGGAGAGACGCCCUUCCACCUCUGGGAGCCUCGGUCUGUUGGGGUCGCGGAGUUCGGGCGCGGCUCCGGGUACCCGAGACCAGCGGCGGCAACUUCUAACACGGGAGAUUUCCCGCCACCCCACCCCGCCGCCGCGAGUCCUCGCGGGGCGUGUUGCGUGCGGAGAAUCGACGGGAUUUCUCUGGCUGUCGUUUGCGCUGCAUUUAUCCGAAUACAUCCAGCUCGCAGGCAUCCUGCAAGAAACGGCUCCCGGCUCGCGUGUACGCCGACACCUCGGCCCAACGCAGGACUCGAGGUGGUUUCUAGUGCCCGGGUGGCUGCAAGUCUGCCCUCCGAGGGAGGCUGGACAAGCGGCGCCCCCAGGUCGAGCGGCCUCUCGCUGCCUGGCAGUGCCUGGCAGCCCCCACCUCUGCCAGUGCUUCGGAAACCCGCCUGGCCAGGUUCGCCCGCGGUGAAAAAUGAAAGCAAAUUCCCCAACAGAGGUAGCCGGAACUUUCCUCGACGAAGGCUCCCUCCUGCGCCUGUGUCUGGAGAACCCCCAGAGCGCUGCAAGUUAGCAAGAGAGAUUCGAUGGCGGCUCUGGAAGGCGCACGAAGGGUGGGGCGGGGGAGCAAAGAGGCCACUGGGUGACCCAGCCUGGUCCGGGGUGAAACGCUAGAGAAGGCGCCUCGCCUUCCUUAUUUCAAUGCAACUCCUCGGCCCCAGACGGUAAAAAUAGUUUCCAAGCUGCCGCGGACGCCCAGGAUGUGUUUGCAGAGAUCAAACUGGGGAGGAGGCAGCUUUGUAAAAGUUGCAGAAAGAUUAGCCGAGAAGCGUCCGCCCGGCGGGGCUCAAGAAAGCUUGGGGACAGCUCCAUGUUCCUUGGGGCGGAAUGGCCCAAGAAUUGGCCUGGGUAACCCCCUGCCCAGUUCUCUGUCCUCACUUCGAGCCAGU